CCUACGGGUGGCAGCAGUGGGGAAUAUUGCACAAUGGGGGGAACCCUGAUGCAGCGACGCCGCGUGGGUGAAGGAGUAUUUCGGUAUGUAAAGCCCUUUCAGCAGGGAAGAACAAUGACGGUACCUGACUAAGAAGCACCGGCCAAAUACGUGCCAGCAGCCGCGGUAAUACGGAGGGUGCCAGCGUUAUCCGGAUUUACUGGGUGGAAAGGGAGCGCCGGCGGUGCGUUAAGCCUGGUGGGAAAGCCCCCGGCCCAACCGCGGGACUGCAUUGGGAACUGGCGCGCUGGAGUGCCGGAGGGGUAGGCGGAAUGCCUAGUGUAGCGGUGAAAUGCGUAGAUAUUAGGAGGAACACCAGUGGCGAAGGCGGCCUACUGGACGGUGACUGACGCUGAGGCUCGAAAGCGUGGGGAGCAAACAGGAUUAGAUACCCUUGUAGUC
rnacentral:rRNA from 1 species